rnacentral:piRNA from 1 species
UCCUCUAGAGGGGAAGGUACCCGGAUGUC